AGGGUAAUAGCUCAGUGGUAGAGCACAUGCUGAGUGUGCACGAGGUCCUGGGUUCAAUCCCCAGUACCUCCA
rnacentral:tRNA from 1 species